rnacentral:rRNA from 1 species
UGGGGAAUAUUGGACAAUGGGCGCAAGCCUGAUCCAGCCAUGCCGCGUGAGUGAUGAAGGCCCUAGGGUUGUAAAGCUCUUUCACCGGUGAAGAUAAUGACGGUAACCGGAGAAGAAGCCCCGGCUAACUUCGUGCCAGCAGCCGCGGUAAUACGAAGGGGGCUAGCGUUGUUCGGAUUUACUGGGCGUAAAGCGCACGUAGGCGGACUAUUAAGUCAGGGGUGAAAUCCCGGGGCUCAACCCCGGAACUGCCUUUGAUACUGGUAGUCUUGAGUUCGAGAGAGGAGAGUGGAAUUCCGGGUGUAGAGGUGAAAUUCGUAGAUAUUCGGAGGAACACCAGUGGCGAAGGCGGCUCACUGGCUCGAUACUGACGCUGAGGUGCGAAAGCGGGGGGAGCAAACAGG